AUACGGAGGAUCCGAGCGUUAUCCGGAUUUAUUGGGUUUAAAGGGAGCGUAGGCGGAGGAUCAAGUCAGCUGUGAAAUGUAGACGCUCAACGUCUGCACUGCAGUUGAAACUGGUCCCCUUGAGUGCGUAAGGGGCAGGCGGAAUUCGUCGUGUAGCGGUGAAAUGCUUAGAUAUGACGAAGAACUCCGAUCGCGAAGGCAGCUGGCCGGGCCGCAACUGACGCUGAAGCUCGAAGGUGCGGGUAUCGAACAGGAUUAGAUACCCUGGUAGUCCGCACAGUAAACGAUGGAUACUCGCUGUCGGCGAUAUACGGUCGGUGGCCAAGCGAAAGCGUUAAGUAUCCCACCUGGGGAGUACGCCGGCAACGGUGAAACUUAAAGGAAUUGACGGGG
rnacentral:rRNA from 1 species